UUUCUUGUCUUCAUUUUUAAGCAGUAGACCAGACUUGCUUGAUGCUGCACUUUUGCGACCUGGAAGGCUGGAUCGCCUUCUCUUUUGUGAUUUUCCUUCACAGCGUGAGAGGUUGGAGAUUCUUUCAGUUCUAUCGAGAAAAUUACCAUUGGAAAGUGAUGUCGAUUUGGAUGGCGUAGCUCGUUUGACAGAAGGGUUCAGUGGAGCUGACCUCCAAGCACUUCUCUCUGAUGCACAGCUUGAGGCUGUCCAUGAUCUUCUAGAUAGUGAAAAUGUCGGCAAGCCUGAGAAGAAGCCAGUCAUCUCUGAUGCUCUCCUGAAAUCUAUUGCAUCCAAGGCAAAACCAUCUGUCUCUGAUGCUGAAAAGCAGCGAUUAUACGACAUCUACAGUCAGUUUUUGGAUGCAAAAAGAUCAGUGGCUGCACAGUCAAGGGAAGCAAAAGGAAAAAGAGCAACCCUCGCUUGAUGAUUGACUGCUACUCGAGCUCUAUGUGCAAGAGCUUGCUAAAGACACACUAAUGACUAGCCUGAUCACUUGCAGUAGCUGCAUUUUGGGUGGAGUUUGUAAUGACACCAUCCCUUUUGUCAUUUAUAGUUAGAAAUAUCUUGUUGUAGCAGUCUUUCCUCUGUGGGGGAAAGUUCAAAAGGAAAACUUGCAUUUUUGGGAUCUUUACACAAAUAGCCGGCGAUAUUCAUUGUUUA